AGUGAACGCUGGCGGUAGGCCUAACACAUGCAAGUCGAACGGCAGCACGGUAAGAUCUUGCUCUUACGGGUGGCGAGUGGCGGACGGGUGAGGAAUACAUCGGAAUCUACUUUUUCGUGGGGGAUAACGUAGGGAAACUUACGCUAAUACCGCAUACGACCUACGGGUGAAAGCAGGGGAUCUUCGGACCUUGCGCGAUUGAAUGAGCCGAUGUCGGAUUAGCUAGUUGGCGGGGUAAAGGCCCACCAAGGCGACGAUCCGUAGCUGGUCUGAGAGGAUGAUCAGCCACACUGGAACUGAGACACGGUCCAGACUCCUACGGGAGGCAGCAGUGGGGAAUAUUGGACAAUGGGCGCAAGCCUGAUCCAGCCAUACCGCGUGGGUGAAGAAGGCCUUCGGGUUGUAAAGCCCUUUUGUUGGGAAAGAAAAGCAGCAGGUUAAUACCCCGCUGUUCUGACGGUACCCAAAGAAUAAGCACCGGCUAACUUCGUG
rnacentral:rRNA from 1 species